rnacentral:rRNA from 1 species
UACGGAGGGUGCAAGCGUUAUCCGGAUUCACUGGGUUUAAAGGGUGUGUAGGCGGGUAUUUAAGUCAGUGGUGAAAUCUCUGGGCUCAACUCAGAAACUGCCAUUGAUACUAUUUAUCUUGAAUAUCGUUGAGGUUGGCGGAAUAUAUCAUGUAGCGGUGAAAUGCAUAGAUAUGAUAUAGAACACCGAUUGCGAAGGCAGCUAACUAAGCGAUGAUUGACGCUGAGGCACGAAAGCGUGGGGAUCAAACAGG